rnacentral:rRNA from 1 species
GUGCCAGCAGCCGCGGUAAGACGAACCGUGCGAACGUUGUUCGGAUUCACUGGGCUUAAAGGGCGCGUAGGCGGUACGCCAAGUCUGGGGUGAAAUCUUUCGGCUCAACCGGAAAAUUGCCUGGGAUACUGGCGUGCUCGAGGGAGGUAGGGGCAGCGGGAACUGCCAGUGGAGCGGUGAAAUGCGUUGAUAUUGGCAGGAACGCCGGUGGCGAAAGCGCGCUGCUGGACCUCUUCUGACGCUGAGGCGCGAAAGCUAGGGGAGCAAACGGGAUUAGAAACCCCCGUAGUCC